CGGGGAUUUUCUAAGGGGUUUUUGGACAGAACUGCAAUUGUUUCUCAACUCCUUGUUUCAGUUUUAGUUUGAAUAUACGAGCAAGGUCGGUGGUGGGAAGGGCGAAAAUUGCAUAGUGCCUGCUUGCCUGCCUUUUGGUUUUAUUCUACUAUUGUUCUACUGAUAUUGGAUGUGGGGGGAAAUAUAUAUAUAGAGAGAGAGAGACAGAUGUAUGUCCUUACCAUCUCUGACUCGGGCCUCAACACCCACAUAGCUUCAUCCUGCUUGUUUCUCAAAAUAUUAUGGAAAACCCGCAUCUAAAUAUAAUCCCAUCCACCGAUGAGAACCUCAUAGUCGUGGGCGAGUUUAAAACGUGUUUUUUUAAACUGAAUCGAAAAGGCUAAUUCCAUCGGGAAGUGAUCCAACCUGUUACGUGCUGACAAGCUAUAUAUUUAUUUAUAUAACCCAAAAAAUUAAAAAAUAAAUAAAAAAUAAAAAAUCAACAGAUAUAGUGUGCAUCAAAGCACAAAAGAGGCGGGUAGAAUUAAGUUUAACCCAUCCAAGCAAACACUGGACAAAAUAUCACCACAGCAAGCUGGAGGGAAUCAUAUAAAUUACCCGUGAAUAAAUACGUAAGAUCCCCUCCGAAAACCAAAAAGGGGAGUUAGUGUAAAGCGGAAAUAGCUAAGAGGGCCAGAAAAGAUACACAAAAGCUGGAUAAUCCACCAAAAUAAAUGAGCGUUUAUAUAUAUAUAUAUAUUUAUCCUCGACAUUCGUUCGAACCAUAGA
rnacentral:sRNA from 2 species